rnacentral:snRNA from 1 species
GGAUGUGAGGGCGAUCUGGCUGCGACAUCUGUCACCCCAUUGAUCGCCAGGGUUGAUUCGGCUGAUCUGGCUGGCUAGGCGGGUGUCCCUCUCCUCCCUCACCGAUCCAUGUGCGUCCCUCCCGAAGCUGCACGCUCGGUCGAAGAGGACGACCUUCCCCCCCGAGGAGAGGACCGGUCUUCGGUCAAGGGUAUACGAGUAGCUGCGCUCCCCUGCUAGAACCUCCAAACAAGCUCCCAAAGAAGACUUUGGUUUACAUGAAACAGAACAGACUGACAAAUUUCAAAG